UGGGAUGGGUGGUCCCGCCCGUGUGAAGCUCCUUCGAAGAGUCGAGUUGUUUGGGAAUGCAGCUCUAAGAGGGUGGUAAAUUUCAUCUAAAGCUAAAUAUUGGCCGGAGACCGAUAGCGCACAAGUAGAGUGAUCGAAAGAUGAAAAGCACUUUGAAAAGAGAGUUAAACAGCACGUGAAAUUGUUGAAAGGGAAGCGUUGGCAACCAGACUCGCCCGGGAGGGCUCAGCCGGCACGUGUGCCGGUGCACUCCCCCCCGGGCGGGCCAGCGUCGGUUUGGGCGGUCGGUCAAAGGUCUUGGGAAUGUAGCACCCUCCGGGGUGCCUUAUAGCCCGAGGCGCCAUGCGACCUGCCCGGACCGAGGAACGCGGACGCUG
rnacentral:rRNA from 1 species